GUGGGGAAUAUUGGUCAAUGGACGAGAGUCUGAACCAGCCAAGUAGCGUGCAGGAUGACGGCCCUAUGGGUUGUAAACUGCUUUUAUACAGGGAUAAAGUUCACUACGUGUAGUGUUUUGUAGGUACUGUAUGAAUAAGGACCGGCUAAUUCCGUGCCAGCAGCCGCGGUAAUACGGAAGGUCCGGGCGUUAUCCGGAUUUAUUGGGUUUAAAGGGAGCGCAGGCUGAUGAUUAAGCGUGACGUGAAAUGUAGCCGCUCAACGGCUGAACUGCGUCGCGAACUGGUUAUCUUGAGUGAGUUCGAUGUUGGCGGAAUUCGUGGUGUAGCGGUGAAAUGCUUAGAUAUCACGAAGAACUCCGAUUGCGAAGGCAGCCAACAAGGCCUUUACUGACGCUAAAGCUCGAAGGUGCGGGUAUCGAACAGG
rnacentral:rRNA from 1 species